CCCCUUGAUGAGGAAGAUUUAGUCGCUUAUGUUCUGAAUGGGCUAGAUGAUGAUUUUGAACCUGUUGUAUCUGCUAUUGUGGCACGCAAUGAGUCGACCACAAUGGCGGAAGUAUACUCUCAGCUUCUUAAUUUUGAGA
rfam:Oryza punctata chromosome 3, whole genome shotgun sequence.